CUGUGAUUAUUGUUCCCAACGGGCUGGGCGCCCACUACCCCCAAACCCGUUUUCUAGUUCCGGGAUUUUUAUUUUAACCCAA
rnacentral:misc_RNA from 1 species